rnacentral:tRNA from 1 species
UAAAAUUCGGUUUACUCCUUGCAGAUAAUUGUUGAAGCAGUUUCUGUAGUGUAGCGGUUAUCACAUUCGCUUAACACGCGAAAGGUCCUCAGUUUGAAACCGGGAGGAAACAGUGCUCUUUGACAUGUGCAGUAGGUACUGUACUAUUAACAGAGAACAGUUAUUUUCAUAAAUGCCUAAUUUUGGAAAUUUGAACACGUGCCAUGAAUAUCUGUAAAAUUCGGUUUAGUCCUUGCAGAUAAUUGUUGAAGCAGUUUCUGUAGUGUAGCGGUUAUCACGUUCGCUUAACACGCGAAAGGUCCCUGGUUCGAAACCAGGCGGAAACAACGCUCAUCGACACAUUCAAGAAGUACCAUAGUGUUAACAAAGAAUUUCAUUAAUCCCUUAUUUUGGAAAUUCGAAUACGUGCCAUGAAUAUUUUUAAAAUUGGGUUUACUCCUUGCAGCUAAUUGUAGCAGUAGUUUCUGUAGUGUAGUGGUUAUCACGUUCGCUUCACACGCCCCUUUUUGGAGUUUCAGGAAGUGGAAGAGAAGCAGGUGUCUGAGUGCUUGAGAGAGAAUAUCGUUUUUUUUGGAGGUCUAGUUGACUUAUAAGUUUGAAAGUUUGUGAGUGACUGUAGUGAAGUUUCUGUGAAACGUUUUUGCUAUUGUCCCCCAUCAGCGUGAGCUGUUUGGGGGAUAUUGCUUAAAAUAACCGGACGGACAACAUGGCUUCGACAUCAAGAAUACAAACGACGACGAG